UGAGCGGCGGACGGGUGAGUAAUGCGUGGGAACGUGCCUUUCUCUGCGGAAUAGCCAUUGGAAACGAUGAGUAAUACCGCAUACGCCCUUCGGGGGAAAGAUUUAUCGGAGAAGGAUCGGCCCGCGUUAGAUUAGGUAGUUGGUGGGGUAAUGGCCUACCAAGCCUACGAUCUAUAGCUGGUUUUAGAGGAUGAUCAGCCACACUGGGACUGAGACACGGCCCAGACUCCUACGGGAGGCAGCAGUGGGGAAUCUUAGACAAUGGGCGCAAGCCUGAUCUAGCCAUGCCGCGUGAGUGAUGACAGGUCUUAGGAUCGUAAAGCUCUUUCGCCAGGGAUGAUAAUGACAGUACCUGGUAAAGAAACCCCGGCUAACUCCGUGCCAGCAGCCGCGGUAAUACGGAGGGGGUUAGCGUUGUUCGGAAUUACUGGGCGUAAAGCGCGCGUAGGCGGAUUGGAAAGUUGGGGGUGAAAUCCCAGGGCUCAACCCUGGAACUGCCUCCAAAACUCCCAGUCUAGAGUUCGAGAGAGGUGAGUGGAACUCCGAGUGUAGAGGUGAAAUUCGUAGAUAUUCGGAAGAACACCAGUGGCGAAGGCGGCUCACUGGCUCGAUACUGACGCUGAGGUGCGAAAGUGUGGGGAGCAAACAGGAUUAGAUACCCUGGUAGUCCACACCGUAAACGAUGAAUGCCAGUCGUCGGGUAGUAUACUGCUCGGUGACACACCUAACGGAUUAAGCAUUCCGCCUGGGGAGUACGGUCGCAAGAUUAAAACUCAAAGGAAUUNACA
rnacentral:rRNA from 1 species